rnacentral:rRNA from 1 species
GACGAACGCUGGCGGCGUGCUUAACACAUGCAAGUCGAACGGAAAGGCCCUGCUUUUGUGGGGUGCUCGAGUGGCGAACGGGUGAGUAACACGUGAGUAACCUGCCCUUGACUUUGGGAUAACUUCAGGAAACUGGGGCUAAUACCGUAUAGGAGCUCCUGCUGCAUGGUGGGGGGUGGAAAGUUUCGGCGGUUGGGGAUGGACUCGCGGCUGAUCAGCUUGUUGGUGGGGGAGUGGCUUACCAAGGCUUUGACGGGUAGCCGGCCUGAGAGGGUGACCGGCCACAUUGGGACUGAGAUACGGCCCAGACUGCUACGGGGGGCAGCAGUGGGGAAUAUUGCACAAUGGGCGGAAGCCUGAUGCAGAAACGCCGCGUGCGGGAUGACGGCCUUCGGGUUGUAAACCGCUUUAGCCUGUGACGAAGCGUGAGUGACGGUAAUGGGUAAAGAAGCACCGGCUAACUACGUG